rnacentral:lncRNA from 1 species
UAAGUACUUCAUUGCUUGGUAAAUGUUGAACCUCACCUCUUCUUCAUUCACUCUCAAUGUCAAUUGUCCCCCUUGUACAUCAAUUAAAGCUCUUCCAGUUGCUAAAAAUGGUCUGCCUAAAAUCAGUGGAAUUUCCUGAUCUUCUUCCAUAUCCAAUACCACAAAAUCAGCUGGGAAGAUGAAUUUGUCGACCUUUACUAGCACGUCUUCAAUAAUUCCUCGUGGGUAGGUGAGGGACCUAUCAGCUAGUUGUAAAGUCACUGUUGUUGGUUUGACCUCCCCGAGGCCUAACUUCUUGAAUACAGAUAACGGCAUUAAAUUGAUGCUUGCUCCUAGAUCACAAAGGGCCUUUUCAAAGGAAGAGCUUCCAAUGGUGCACGGAAUAGUGAAGCUGCCCGGAUCUUUUCUCUUCUGAGGAAGUUUCUUUUGAAGAAUAGCGCUGCAUUCCUCUGUCAAUUUUACUGUUUCAUAUUCCUCCAAUUUUCGCUUCUUUGACAUCACUUCCUUCAUAAACUUUGCGUAAUUUGGCAUUUGUUCCAAAGCAUCUGCAAAAGGAAUAUUAAUAUGAAUUUUCUUAAAGAUUUCUAAAAAUUUAGCAAAUUGAUUAUCAAAUUUUUUCUUUUGAAAACGCUGUGGAAAAGGAAGUGGUGGUGUGAGAAUUGGUGGGUUGUCAGGGAAGGAUAUGGAAUAAGGUUUGUGAGCCUUAUUUGUUCCUUUGGCCUGCUUUUCUUGCUCUUCUGCUACUUGUUCUUUCUCCUUAUUAGGUGUGGGGUUG